UACAGAGGGUGCGAGCGUUAAUCGGAAUUACUGGGCGUAAAGCGUGCGUAGACGGUUAUUUAAGUCGGGUGUGAAAGCCCCGGGCUCAACCUGGGAAUUGCAUUCGAGACUGAAUAGCUAGGGUGCGGAAGAGGGAAGCGGAAUUUCCGGUGUAGCGGUGAAAUGCGUAGAUAUCGGAAGGAACACCAGUGGCGAAAGCGGCUUCCUGGUCCAGCACCGACGUUCAGGCACGAAAGCGUGGGGAGCAAAC
rnacentral:rRNA from 1 species